AGUGGCGAACGGGUGAGUAACGCGUGGAUGAUCUACCUACGAGAUGGGGAUAACUAUUAGAAAUAGUAGCUAAUACCGAAUAAAGUCAAUUAAUUUGUUAAUUGAUGAAAGGAAGCCUUUAAAGCUUCGCUUGUAGAUGAGUCUGCGUCUUAUUAGCUAGUUGGUAGGGUAAAUGCCUACCGAGGCGAUGAUAAGUAACCGGCCUGAGAGGGUGAACGGUCACACUGGAACUGAGAUACGGUCCAGACUCCUACGGGAGGCAGCAGCUAAGAAUCUUCCGCAAUGGGCGAAAGCCUGACGGAGCGACACUGCGUGAAUGAAGAAGGUCGAAAGAUUGUAAAAUUCUUUUAUAAAUGGGGAAUAAGCUUUGUAGGAAAUGACGAAGUGAUGACGUUAAUUUAUGAAUAAGCCCCGGCUAAUUACGUGCCAGCAGCCGCGGUAAUACGUAAGGGGCGAGCGUUGUUCGGGAUUAUUGGGCGUAAAGGGUGAGUAGGCGGAUAUAUAAGUCUAUGCAUAAAAUACCACAGCUCAACUGUGGAACUAUGUUGGAAACUAUAUGUCUAGAGUCUGAUA
rnacentral:rRNA from 1 species